rnacentral:rRNA from 1 species
AGUUCGGACUGGAGUCUGCAACCCGACUCCACGAAGCUGGAUUCGCUAGUAAUCGCGCAUCAGCCAUGGCGCGGUGAAUACGUUCCCGGGCCUUGUACACACCGCCCGUCAAGCCAUGGGAGCCGGGGGCGCCUGAAGUCCGGGACCGCGAGGACCGGCCUAGGGCGAAACUGGUAACUGGGGCUAAGUCGUAACAAGGUACC